GUCCAGAUUCCCAGAAAAUACAACGAAGAAGAAGCGGUAAUAGUAGAAGAAGAAAUAUGACGAGGCAAACUGCCAUCGUUAGCGGAGUUGUGAAACAAUCCUCGCCAACCGAGGGCCCCCGCCACAAAUCACGAGCGUAACACCGUUCCCUCGCCUUGACAAGGUCACCGCUUUGCCUCGGAGGCAGCAACGAAUAACCAGCCGCUGUCAUCGGGCGGAUCGACGGCGCAGCCGUGCAGUGGCCGCAUUUGUCAGCCCCAAGCAGGAUUGUGUUCCGCGACAAAGACGACUUGCAUCAUCGCAAGCUGACGCCGGGACCAAAACGGGCCCUUUGCAAGCUACGGGUCACAAGGGCCCUUACUAACGGACAAAGUGUCUGAUGACGCCGUCGCCCUAAUAUUGGGGGAAUACAUGACAAAGAAAGAAGAGAGUAGAGAAGAAGUCUCUCCGAGGACGUGACGCUCUGCUAGGACCCGUCCUCGUCGGGCUUUCCUGGCGCGUAAUAACCAGCCAGCUGCCGGAAUCGCGG